rnacentral:lncRNA from 1 species
UUGUCUUUAUAAUUCUUUGUACUAAACUUCCCUUGUCUAAAUUGCAGUGUGGUUCCUGCCUCUUGAUUGUGCCCAGACUGUUACAGGCACAUCCCUUCCUGAACAGGAAGGGAGACUUCUCUUUCCACACCAGUGGCGUUGGGCUACAGUUUGGUCUCCCCAUGGAGGUUCCUGUCACCAUGAAGGGCACACAAGUGGCCCUAGAUCAAUUCGUACCUCAUGUCAAUGCUUCAAGGAAUGGUAGUCCAGUGCCGAAUACAGAAGAAAGGCUUCAGUCGGAAGGAAGCACACGACUUGUACGGCUUAUCUCAUAAUUUAAAUUUGCGAAGCCGUCAUUCUGAACCUCUCGUGAGUUGAAGAAACCUUGAAAAUCUCAGGUAUGAAAUUUUAAAAUGUCAAGGACAGUAACUUACCAUACUUUUAGAGUUCAGGUGGCUCAUCAGUGUAGAGAUCUUUGUGUUACCACAAUAGCACAAUACCUGCACACAACAGGUGCUUAAUAAACACCACUGUGCUGAACCAGAGCGAGUAAUAAUGUUUGUCACAAAGUAUUGCAAACCUGAGAUAAAAGUUAUCUGAAAGCAUAAGUCAAGAUCUCACAUUGGUCUUGCAAGAAGCACUUCAGAUGACCAGUGAGCUGGGGCCUGAGAAAUGAGGCCAAUGACCAAGCAAAGCGUGCCAGUGGGUACUUCCCUGCUAGAAUGCAUGGAAAUAUACAAUAACACCAAAUGCCAAUGAUGGAAAACAAGCUGUGAGUGGAAGUGCAGAC